GUGCAGGUGCUUCUCAUCCAGUGUCAAAUUAAAGCUCUUUCCACCUCUGCAUCUUUUACAGUUCCUUUCCAAUGUUCUCACUGCUUCUGUAUCCUCUCUUUACCUUUGGGUACCAGCUACUGAUGAAAAGCCCCAUGUUUUCUGAGCUCCUUGGAUUUAUGCAUUUAACCACUGAUAUCCUUCCCUGAACCUGUAACUCUUGGCAAGAAUUAAGGAGAUCAGAAAAUGUAAAAAUACCCCAACAGCCCAUUAUCAUAGUGCAGAAACAAAAGUGUGGUCAUGGACAGUAGAUUAUGACCCAGAGGAAAGAAUGUGAACAUGGCUGCAGAGGGAAAUAUCAAGUGAUGUAUGUGAAACUGCCAAAGUGAGAACUGCAGCUGAAGGAAGCAAGCCAGCAGUCUAACUACGAUCAAUAUCCAGGUUAAGCAAACAAUUACAGUCUGCUGGACUUGGAAGGAAAUCCACACUGCCUG